rfam:Caenorhabditis brenneri strain PB2801 C_brenneri-6.0.1_Cont13.38, whole genome shotgun sequence.
GGUUUUUACCCCAGUUAACCAAGGUUAGCAUGGAUUUCGACCUAUCGAAAGAUUGUGUUGAAUUGAGUAAUUUUUGGAAAAGCUUCUUCGGGGUAUCCGGAGAGGCGGA